rnacentral:rRNA from 1 species
GAUGAACGCUGGCGGCGUGCCUAAUACAUGCAAGUCGAGCGAACAGAUGAGGAGCUUGCUCCUCUGACGUUAGCGGCGGACGGGUGAGUAACACGUGGAUAACCUACCUAUAAGACUGGGAUAACUUCGGGAAACCGGAGCUAAUACCGGAUAAUAUAUUGAACCGCAUGGUUCAAUAGUGAAAGACGGUUUUGCUGUCACUUAUAGAUGGAUCCGCGCCGCAUUAGCUAGUUGGUAAGGUAACGGCUUACCAAGGCAACGAUGCGUAGCCGACCUGAGAGGGUGAUCGGCCACACGGGAACUGAGACACGGUCCAGACUCCUACGAGAGGCAGCAGUAGGGAAUCUUCCGCAAUGGGCGAAAGCCUGACAGAGCAACGCCGCGUGAGUGAUGAAGGUCUUCGGAUCGUAAAACUCUGUUAUUAGGGAAGAACAAAUGUGUAAGUAACUAUGCACGUCUUGACGGUACCUAAUCAGAAAGCCACGGCUAACUACGUG